rnacentral:lncRNA from 1 species
UAAAAUCAAUUGAAAUUGUGGAAUAAAUGAAUCCUAAUUUCUUUCGUAUCAGUUGAAACCUCAAACCGAGUUGUUUGCAAAAUUUUGCCUUUUGCUUAUGUCUAAGUAGGGAGCAUUAUUGAAUAAAUUUGGUUUUGGAAUCUAAACUUGGGGAGAGUAAAGUGAAAAGUUGAUUAGAAACUUGGAAAAGUGAGUUUUUAUGAAAGGGUGAAAAUUUGAAAAGAAACAAGAAAAAGAAAUCACCCUUGAAACCAUAGAGCAAGAAAAAAAAAGAAUAGAAAAAAAAAGCAAAGAAAAUGCUCAUGGUUGUGUGGAUUUGAAAAGAAAAAGAAAAAGAAAAAGAUAGGGAUCAAAGAAAGGGAAAUCGUGUAGAGUUGAAUAUUUGGGAAUGCUCCCU